GACGAACGCUGGCGGCGUGCUUAACACAUGCAAGUCGAACGGAAAGGCCCUGCUUUUGUGGGGUGCUCGAGUGGCGAACGGGUGAGUAACACGUGAGUAACCUGCCCUUGACUUUGGGAUAACUUCAGGAAACUGGGGCUAAUACCGGAUAGGAGCUCCUGCUGCAUGGUGGGGGUUGGUAAGUUUCGGCGGUUGGGGAUGGACUCGCGGCUUAUCAGCUUGUUGGUGGGGUAGUGGCUCACCAAGGCUUUGACGGGUAGCCGGCCUGAGAGGGUGACCGGCCACAUUGGGACUGAGAUACGGCCCAGACUCCUACGGGAGGCAGCAGUGGGGAAUAUUGCACAAUGGGCGGAAGCCUGAUGCAGCAACGCCGCGUGCGGGAUGACGGCCUUCGGGUUGUAAACCGCUUUCGCCUGUGACGAAGCGUGAGUGACGGUAAUGGGUAAAGAAGCACCGGCUAACUACGUG
rnacentral:rRNA from 1 species